AGGUAAGCUACUAAGAGCGAAUGGUGGAUGCCUUGACUGGUAAAGGCGAUGAAGGACGUACUAGACUGCGAUAAGCUACGGGGAGCUGUCAAGAAGCUUUGAUCCGUAGAUUUCCGAAUGGGGCAACCCAAUGUAUAGAGAUAUACAUUACCUAUAUAGGAGCGAACGAGGGGAAUUGAAACAUCUUAGUACCCUCAGGAAAAGAAAUCAAUAGAGAUUGCGUCAGUAGCGGCGAGCGAAAGCGCAAGAGGGCAAACCCAGUGCUUGCACUGGGGGUUGUAGGACUGCAAUGUGCAAGAGGUGAGUUUAGCAGAACAUUCUGGAAAGUAUAGCCAUAGAGGGUGAUAGUCCCGUAUGCGAAAAACAAACCUUAGCUAGCAGUAUCCUGAGUAGGGCGGGACACGAGAAAUCCUGUCUGAAGCUGGGUCGACCACGAUCCAACCCUAAAUACUAAUACCAGAUCGAUAGUGCACAAGUACCGUGAGGGAAAGGUGAAAAGAACUGAGGUGAUCAGAGUGAAAUAGAACCUGAAACCAUUUGCUUACAAUCAUUCAGAGCCCUAUGUAGCAAUACAGGGUGAUGGACUGCCUUUUGCAUAAUGAGCCUGCGAGUUGUGGUGUCUGGCAAGGUUAAGCAAACGCGAAGCCGUAGCGAAAGCGAGUCUGAAUAGGGCGCUUAGUCAGAUGCUGCAGACCCGAAACGAAGUGAUCUAUCCAUGAGCAAGUUGAAGCUAGUGUAAGAACUAGUGGAGGACUGAACCCAUAGGCGUUGAAAAGCCCCGGGAUGACUUGUGGAUAGGGGUGAAAGGCCAAUCAAACUUCGUGAUAGCUGGUUCUCUCCGAAAUAUAUUUAGGUAUAGCGUUGUGUCGUAAUAUAAGGGGGUAGAGCACUGAAUGGGCUAGGGCAUACACCAAUGUACCAAACCCUAUCAAACUCCGAAUACCUUAUAUGUAAUCACAGCAGUCAGGCGGCGAGUGAUAAAAUCCGUCGUCAAGAGGGAAACAACCCAGACUACCAGCUAAGGUCCCUAAAUCUUACUUAAGUGGAAAACGAUGUGAAGUUACUUAAACAACCAGGAGGUUGGCUUAGAAGCAGCCAUCCUUUAAAGAAAGCGUAAUAGCUCACUGGUCUAGUGAUUUUGCGCGGAAAAUAUAACGGGGCUAAAGUAAGUACCGAAGCUGUAGACUUAGUUUACUAAGUGGUAGGAGAGCGUUCUAUUUGCGUCGAAGGUAUACCGGUAAGGAGUGCUGGAGCGAAUAGAAGUGAGCAUGCAGGCAUGAGUAGCGAUAAUUAAUGUGAGAAUCAUUAACGCCGUAAACCCAAGGUUUCCUACGCGAUGCUCGUCAUCGUAGGGUUAGUCGGGUCCUAAGUCGAGUCCGAAAGGGGUAGACGAUGGCAAAUUGGUUAAUAUUCCAAUACCAACAUUAGUGUGCGAUGGAAGGACGCUUAGGGCUAAGGGGGCUAGCGGAUGGAAGUGCUAGUCUAAGGUCGUAGGAGGUUAUACAGGCAAAUCCGUAUAACAAUACUCCGAGAACUGAAAGGCUUUUUGAAGUCUUCGGAUGGAUAGAAGAACCCCUGAUGCCGUCGAGCCAAGAAAAGUUUCUAAGUUUAGCUAAUGUUGCCCGUACCGUAAACCGACACAGGUGGGUGGGAUGAGUAUUCUAAGGCGCGUGGAAGAACUCUCUUUAAGGAACUCUGCAAAAUAGCACCGUAUCUUCGGUAUAAGGUGUGGUUCGCUUCGUAUUAGGAUUUACUCCGAAAGCGAAGAAACUUACAACAAAGAGUCCCUCCCGACUGUUUACCAAAAACACAGCACUCUGCUAACUCGUAAGAGGAUGUAUAGGGUGUGACGCCUGCCCGGUGCUCGAAGGUUAAUUGAUGGGGUUAGCAUUAGCGAAGCUCUUGAUCGAAGCCCGAGUAAACGGCGGCCGUAACUAUAACGGUCCUAAGGUAGCGAAAUUCCUUGUCGGUUAAAUACCGACCUGCAUGAAUGGCGUAACGAGAUGGGAGCUGUCUCAAAGAGGGAUCCAGUGAAAUUGUAGUGGAGGUGAAAAUUCCUCCUACCCGCGGCAAGACGGAAAGACCCCGUGGACCUU
rnacentral:rRNA from 1 species